rnacentral:rRNA from 1 species
UACGUAGGGGGCAAGCGUUGUCCGGAAUCAUUGGGCGUAAAGAGCGUGUAGGCGGUCCGGUAAGUCGGCUGUGAAAGUCGAGGGCUCAACCCUCGAAUGCCGGUGGAUACUGUCGGGCUUGAGUGCGGGAGAGGCGAGUGGAAUUCCUGGUGUAGCGGUGAAAUGCGCAGAUAUCAGGAGGAACACCGAUUGCGAAGGCAGCUCGCUGGAACGUUACUGACGCUGAGACGCGAAAGCGUGGGGAGCAAACAGG